AAUGAACGCUAGCGGCAGGCUUAAUACAUGCAAGUCGAGGGGUAACAGGGUGGUAGCAAUACCAUUGCUGACGACCGGCAAACGGGUGCGGAACACGUACAGAACCUUCCUUCGAGUGGGAGAUAGCCCAGGGAAACUUGGAGUAAUAUCCCAUAGGAUCAUAGAGUGGCAUCACUUAGUGAUUAAAGAUUUAUCGCGUGAAGAUGGCUGUGCGGCUGAUUAGGUAGUUGGGGUAGGUAACGGCUCACCAAGCCUUCGAUCAGUAACUGGUGUGAGAGCACGACCAGUCACACGGGCACUGAGACACGGGCCCGACUCCUACGGGAGGCAGCAGUAAGGAAUAUUGGGCAAUGGAGGCAACUCUGACCCAGCCAUGCCGCGUGGAGGAUGAAGGUCCUCUGGAUUGUAAACUUCUUUUAUUUGGGAAGAAAUGCCGAUUUUCUAAUUGGUUUGACGGUACCAGAUGAAUAAGCACCGGCUAACUCCGUGCCAGCAGCCGCCGUAAUAC
rnacentral:rRNA from 1 species